ACCUGAAAUAGAGGCAUUGGUG
rnacentral:miRNA from 1 species